UAACUCUAGCGUGACUAUUUCUUGAAUUAUUCCCCUUGAUCGUGGAAUUUAUGUUAACAAUGUUAUUUUUUUUACUAUAAGUUUUUGGGAGACAUAUAGUUUUUGCCUUCACCGUCUAUCUGUCCGUCUGUCCGGCCAAGCAAACAUUUGAUAUUUAUGAGCUUCAUUCCUAAGUUAAAUAAAGAACAAAAACUCAUAAAAUUCAAAUUAAGAGCUAUUUUUUUGUUUUUAUGAGCUAAUUUUGCUUAUGGACUUAGGUCCAGGUGUAGUUUAUAAGCUGAUUUGCAUCUUAAAUAUCAAAAGUUGGUACGUCCGUCGGGGCAUUGAGCUUGUCCUCCCUUCACAAACUACUGGUGGGACUUCAACCAAACUUUACAGAAGUGAUCAGUACCAUCCUUAGUUGUGCACAUCACCGACACAUUCCGCUUCGCUGCACAAAAUGGCCGCCAGAGCUAAAAAUAGAAAAAUCUUGUCCAGCCUUCACAGGUCGAACAACUGGUGGGAUUUCAACCAAACUUUACAGGAGUGAUCAGUACCAUCCCUGGUUGUGCAUAUUACCGGCACAUUCCGUUUCGCUGCACAAAAUGGCCACCAGAGAUAAAAAUAGAAAAAUCUUGUCCGCCCUUCACAGGUCAAACUACUGGUGUGAUUUCAACCAAACUUUACAGGAGUGAUCAGUACCAUCCCUGGUUGUGCAUAUUACCGGCACAUUCCGUUUCGCUGCACAAAAUGGCCACCAGAGAUAAAAAUAGAAAAAUCUUGUCCGCCCUUCACAAAACAAGAGCUGUCACACCUACUGGUGUGAUUUCAACCAAACUUUACAGGAGUGAUCAGUACCAUCCAUAGUUGUGCACAUCACCGACACGUUCUGCUUUGCUGCACAAAAUGGCCACCAGAGCUAAAAAUAGAAAAAUCUUGUCCGCCCUUCACAGGUCAAACUACUGGUGGGAUUUCAACGAAACUUUACAGGAGUGAUCAGUACCAUCCCUAGUUGUGCAUGUCACCUGAAUGUUUUGCUGCACAAAAUGGCGGUCAGAGCUAUGAACUGGCUUUCACAGUUAAGCUUGUGGUGGGAUUUCAAUGAAAUUUCACAUGAGUGACCAUACAUAGUUUUUGGAGACAUAUGUUUUUGUGACAAAAACCCUUCUAGUUGAUUUUUCUUUAAUAGUUAUACCCCGCACAACAAAGUUGUAAGGGGGGUAUACUGGAAUCAGCUUGUCCGUCCGGCUGUCCGGCCGUCCGUCGGUUUUUUCUUGUCCGCCCAAUAACUUAAGAUUCCUUUGACCCUUAGUCUUCAUAUUUGGCAUGGAGGUUAGUCAUGAUUAGUAGAUGACCCCUAUUGAUUUUGAGGUCACCAGGUCAAGGUCACAGGGGCCUUGACUUCAAAAAGCUUGUCCGCCCUAUAACUUAAGAUUCCUUUGACCCACAGUCUUCAUAUUUGGCAUGGAGGUUAGUCAUGAUAAGUAGAUGACCCCUAUUGACUUUGAGGUCACCAGGUCAAAGGUCAAGGUCACAGGGGCCUUGACUUCAAAAAGGUUGUCCGCCCAAUAACUUAAGAUUCCUUUGACCCACAGUCUUCAUAUUUGGCAUGGAGGUUAGUCAUGAUUAGUAGAUGACCCCUAUUGAUUUUGAGGUCACCAGGUCAAAGGUCAAGGUCACAGGGGCCUUGACUUCAAAAACCUUGUCCGCCCAAUAACUUAAGAUUCCUUUGACCCACACUCUUCAUAUUUGGAAUGGAGGUUAGUCAUGAUUAGUAGAUGACCCCUAUUGAUUUUGAGGUCACCAGGUCAAAGGUCAAGGUCACAGGGGCCUUGAAUUCAAAAAGCUUGUCCGCCCUAUAACUUAAGAUUCCUUUGACCCACAGUCUUCAUAUUUGGCAUGGAGGCUAGUCAUGAUAAGUAGAUGACCCCUAUUGACUUUGAGGUCACCAGGUCAAAGGUCAAGGUCACAGGGUCUUGACUUCAAAAAGGUUGUCCACCCUAUAACUUAAGAUUCCUUUGACCCACAGUCUUCAUAUUUGGCAUGGAGGUUAGUCAUGAUUAGUAGAUGACCCCUAUUGACUUUUAGGUCACCAGGUCAAAGGUCAAGGUCACAGGGACCUUGACUUCAAAAACCUUGUCCGCCCUAUAACUUAAGAUUCCUUUGACCCACACUCUUCAUAUUUGGAAUGGAGGUUAGUCAUGAUUAGUAGAUGACCCCUAUUGAUUUUGAGGUAAAAGGUCAAGGUCACAGGGACUUUGACUUCAAAAAGUUUGUCUGCCCAAUAACUUAAGAUUCCUUUGACCCACAGUCUUCAUAUUUGGCAUGGAUGUUGAUCAUGUUUAGUAGAUGACCCCUUUUGAUUUUGAGGUCACUGGAUCAAAGGUCAAGGUCAUAGGGACUUUGACUUCAUAAAGUUUGUCCACCCAUUAACUUACGAUUCCUUUGACCUACAGUCUUCAUAUUUGGCAUGGAUGUUGAUCAUGACUAUAAGGUGAUUCCUAUUUAUUUUGAGGUCACUGGGUCAAAGGUCAAGGUCACAGGGACCUUGACAAAAAAAGCUUUUCUUCUCAAUUGCUAAAGAAUGUCCUGUCCGCAAUGUAUUGAUUUUGACAUUUUCACAUUUGAAGCAUGUAGAAUACAUAACUUAGCAAUGCACUGGCUUAGUAACCUCAGAUUUGGCAGGGAGGUUGUUCUUGAGCUCUAAAUGGCCACUGUUGAUUCUGACAAAGUGGUAUGCGGGGGUAUUCACGCCAUGAUAGUGGCAGUUCUAGUUUUGUCUUCCUUACUGCGUCCAGUAUUUUAGUUGUCGAGCUUCGCUGUCUCCUGUGACAGCUCUUGUUUUUGUUAAGUUAGCGGCCUAAAUUUCUACAAUUGCAGAUUAAGUGUUAUAAAAACGGCACUUUCUGAAGUUCCUGACAAUUGUUUGAAAAAAGGUCUUAUUAUAGCCCCCUCUCCUCCCCCCCCCCUCCAAGCGGGCAGGCGGUUUGGCAGCGUCCAAUUUUGUCCUGAGCAUACCUCCUACACGCAUGCAGGAAUUUUAAUGAAACUUCAUAGAAAUGUUCACCACUUUGAGAAGCUGUCGCACACAUGAACCAGGUCUCUAGGUCAAUGGUCAAGGUCACACAUAGAGCUCAUUGAAAACACUUAUCCUGAGCAAAACUUGCAUAGAGGGAUUUUAAUAUAUGCAAGGCAAAGGACACUAAAAAUGAUAGUCAAGGUCACUAAAGAUGAUAAAAUAUAGAGAUUCUGUUCAGAGCAUAAUCUCCUACAGAUAUGGAGGUAUUCUUAUUGGACUUCAUACUAAUGUUCACAACUAUGGGAAGCAGGGUCAUGUGUGUGAACUAGGUCAAAGGCAACCGCCUCCGUGAUUGAGGGGUUAGAGUCGAUGACUUCUAAUCCAGUUACCUCUCUGGCGUUGGUUCGAUCCCCGGGAGAUGCUUUGGUAGUUUAGCGAGAAGAAAGGUAGUCUAGUACUGGUGUAACUCUCCAAGAACGAUAUUUAGGAAACUACCCGCCUAUAUGACUGAAAUACUGUUGGGAAAAGGCGUAAAAAAUGAAACAAACAAAAAAAAGGUCAAGGUCACACUUGAAAAAUACUUGUCCCAAAGCAAAACUUCUACAUGCAUAGAGGGAGGACAAAUAGCUUGGCACAAAUUUUCACGGUUGUAAGGCGGAGUGUUGGGUACAAAAUUCAGGUCCCUGUAGCCAAGGUCACACAUAGGGGUAAAAUUUCAGAUGAAAAUGUGUAUUCUGACCAUUUGAGGGAUUGAAACACAAAUGGUCAUUAUCAUGACUAAUGGUGUAAAACAUGUGAUUUAGAUUAAUAUAUGCAAGGUCGAGGUCACUAAAGAUGAUAAAAUACAGAAAUUAUGUCUAGAGCAUAUCUCUUCCAUGCAUGGUGGGAUUCUAAUGAAACUUCAUAGAAAUAUUCACCACUAUGAGAAGCAGAGUCGUGUGCAUUAACCAGAUCUCAAGGUUAAAUGUUAAGGUCAGACUUAGAGGUCUCUGACAAAGAUGUGGGCAUUAUAGAUAUGCAUAUAGGAUAUAUGCUCUGGGCAAUAUCCGGAAAAUAUCUGGAUAUUUUAUCAUCUCUUGUGACCAUGACCUUACAAUUACAUGUGUCACACUUGUCAUCAAUGAUGGUUAUCAUUUGUGUUACAGUCCAUCAGAUAAUGAUAACUAAAAUGGUCCCCAUACACAAACUUUGACAUCUUUAUGUGACCUUGACUUUGGUAGCAGGGACCUGGAUUAGGUCUAAAAUGGUGAUCAUUUGUGCCAAGUGAUAUUAUAAUCCCCUGUUGAAUGUUGAAGUUCGGCUCCGUACUGACCUCUAAGUGUGACCUUAAACCAAGAGUGAAGUGACCUGGUUCAUGCAUUCCAGACUGCUUCUCACAGUGGUGAAAGAUUCUAUGAAGUUUCAUUAGAAUCCCUCCAUGCGUGUAAAACAUACGCUCAAGACAAAAAUUUUUAUAUUUCAUUAUGAUCUUUAAGUGAACUUGACCUUGCUUAUAUUGACCUUAAUUACAAGUAUCACAUCCGACACUGACUGUAUGUGUUACAAUCGCUUUAAUAAAUGAUGACUAAAUGGUCUGAUUACAUAAUUUCAUUUUUUACCUGAAGUUUUACCCCUAAGUAUGACCUUGACCUUUGCUUAAUGGCCUUAAUUUUGCAUGCAACACUCCUGACAAGCAUUUGGCAUUAGAAGUGUGACCUUAAUAUUGACCCUAUAGACCUGGUUUAUGCGCAUUACACUGUUUCUCAUAGUGGUGAAUAUGAAGUUUCAUUAAAAUCCCUCCAUGUGUGUAGGAGAUAUAGAUCUAUAUACUUAGGACAAUAUCUCUACAUUUGAUCAGUUUAAAGUGACCUUGCAUAUAUUAACCUAAAUUACAUGUUUCACACUGAUAGCCAUGAUAAAGAUAAGAUAAGAUAUCUUUAUUUAAAGUCGGUUUCAUAAAAACAUAUAAACAUUAGCUAUAUAAGCUAUUUUCCGACAUAACUUACUAUCCUGUAACAAUUCAAACAAACAAUAUGUAUAAAAGUAAUUAUAUAAAAGUAUUAAGAAGAUCAAUGUACAUUUAUGAAAGACUCUGUAAAACAGUUAAGAUUUAUGAGCACAUAUAAAUAUGGGUAAGAAAGCAUUAAAUGAUUAAAAGCAAAUAUAACAUUACAAUCAGACAUCACAUAAAAUUACAUCAUACAAGAAUUCUAUUUAUGUACACAACCCUAAAAUCAGAAAAAGGAUUAGAAUUUUUUUUUAAAUUUAAAUUUUACUAUUUCUUACCACAGCGUCUGUAUGAAGAUCUUUACUUAUGAAAUUAUUUAAAUAUGAAUUGAAAUAUAGAAAGCAGUAGAUCAAAUGUUAAAUAAAUUAACUAGUAUUAACACCGAUUUUAUGUAUGAUAAUGAUUGAAAAAAUGUAAGAAUCAGCGCAAAAAAAAAAACAAAAACAAAAAAACAACAA